rnacentral:rRNA from 1 species
GCGAAAGCCCCGCAAGGGGCCAGUAGAGUGGCAAACGGGUGAGUAACACGUGGGUGACCUGCCUUCGAGCGGGGGAUAACGUCCCGAAAGGGACGCUAAUACCGCAUGACAUCCUGCCUUUGAAGAGGUGGAGAUCAAAGCUGGGGAUCGCAAGACCUAGCACUCGAUGAGGGGCCCGCGUCUGAUUAGCUAGUUGGUGGGGUAAUGGCUCACCAAGGCAACGAUCAGUAUCCGGCCUGAGAGGGCGGACGGACACACUGGGACUGAGACACGGCCCAGACUCCUACGGGAGGCAGCAGUGGGGAAUUGUUCGCAAUGGGCGCAAGCCUGACGACGCAACGCCGCGUGGAGGAUGAAGACCUUCGGGUCGUAAACUCCUUUCGAUCGAGACGAAUGGCCUUCGGGUGAACAAUCCGGAGGAGUGACGGUACCGAGAGAAGAAGCCCCGGCUAACUCCGUGCCAGCAGCCGCGGUAAUACGGGGGGGGCAAGCGUUGUUCGGAAUUACUGGGCGUAAAGGGCUCGUAGGUGGCCAACUAAGUCAGACGUGAAAUCCCUCGGCUUAACUGGGGAACUGCGUCUGAUACUGGAUGGCUUGAGUUUGGGAGAGGGAUGCGGAAUUCCAGGUGUAGCGGUGAAAUGCGUAGAUAUCUGGAGGAACACCGGUGGCGAAGGCGGCAUCCUGGGACCACACUGACACUGAAGAGCGAAAGCCAGGGGAGCAAACGGGAUUAGAUACCCCGGUAGUCCUGGCCCUAAA